ensembl:lncRNA LRRC52-AS1 LRRC52 antisense RNA 1
UGUUGUUACAUAGAUUGCCUGUGAUUUAAGGAAACACGAUAGCCACUAUUUACUAUUUACCCUGUGUCAAGAAUGUGAUCCUCCCAGCAACGCAAUGAGUCAUAUUGCAUGACCCUCAUCUUAUGAAUGAAGAAACAGAAGCUCCCAGAGGUGCCACUCGCCCGUGGUCACAGAGCUGGUGGGAGAAUCACUGAGUGAGUCUGAGGACAGAGAAUGACACACUGUGGUUUCCAAGAGAGAACAUCAAUGUUUUUGACCAACUCGUAAUUUCAAAGACUGGAAAAACCAUGCUUAUAUGCGCAGCCUCUUUUCUGAGGAACAGACUAGAGGAUGUUUGUUUAUGCCAGCAGAAAGCAAAGCCACUUCUAGAUCAGAUCACCUGCUGCUGACAGUCAGAUCAAAUCAACAGCACUGAAUGAGCUCCUCCCAGGGACAGUGCAGCUGCCUGGAAUUUGAAUGUGGUAUCUGGAGCUUCAGUAGUCAUCCAGGACUGUAAGUGUGAAAGCCAUGCACUGAGAGUGGUGGAACAGAAGCCCUGUUUUCUUUAGACGCUGACUCCUGCUGUCUACCAGAUCCUCGUGGUACAAUGACUGGUGUAGACUGGCUUGUUGAAGUCACUCUCUGGAUCUGAGCAACGCUGGCUGAGCCGUGAUGAAGUAUUCCUAUCCAUCCACUAUGCUUCACAGUGGGAAUCUCUCACUGUUCAUCACCGCUGCCCUAGCAGCCGCAGGCCUUCUCCUCUUCAGAUGGACUGCAGGGGGCCACGAGACUCCAGUGGCAGCCGCUCAACUCUGAACACAGCCACUGCAUAGAGGGUUCAGUGAAGUGAGUGGGGUUGUUACUCCCCACCAAGCAGUGAGUGGCUUUCUGCUGUUCCACUCCAGAGGCCUCACCUCCUGUGUUUUUAAACUCCAGUUUCUGUCUUUCCCUGUUGGCACCAAACUUAUCUUCAUAAAAUAUAAAUCAAAUCACA